CCGCCCGCUCUCACGGGGACCGGUGUUGCCGGCCGGUAAACGCGCACCGGUGGUCGCAAGUGUGCUAAAGCUUAUUCACCGCGACGGGAGCCCUCCUCCUUCCCUCAGCCGUCCCCACUUCGAGGCGGCUUUCCCCGUCUCCUUCUGCAGCCGUGGAGGGUUCAGCUGCGUGCCUUUGCACGAGAUGUGGGAGGUGUGCAGUGCCCGCUCUCACGGGGACCGGUGUUGCCGGCCGGUAAACGCGCACCGGUGGUCGCAAGUGUGCUAAAGCUUAUUCACCGCGACGGGAGCCCUCCUCCUUCCCUCAGCCGUCCCCACUUCGAGGCGGCUUUCCCCGUCUCCUUCUGCAGCCGUGGAGGGUUCAGCUGCGUGCCUUUGCACGAGAUGUGGGAGGUGUGCAGUCCGAACACCCGGAGGACUCUCGUACCGCAGCUCUGUUUCAGGAAACAAAAAAUAUUGUUUGACUGGGCUGAAUAACUGACAGUAGUGCGAAUUGCAAAGGGACGACAUCAACACAGAUUGAAUAUUCAACCUGGAUGCUGACAUUUUUAAAGUAUGCAUAAUAGUUUGGAAGAACAAGCACAUCUCCUGAGACUUGCUGGGAUGAGUCCAUAAGAAGUAUUAGACUAUGACCAGGUAUGUCUUACCUAUUUCUUUAGACCAAGUGCAGGUUGCGUUAUCCAUCCUCUAAUGUUUUUUGUUGGUUGUUGAUAGCUGGUUCUGCAGAGAUGUGCAUCAGUAUGACCGCUGAGUUCUGCAUUUAUUUACUACAUAUUCAUUGCAAGUUUUUGAAUACGUGCAGGGCUAAGUGUGAUUUUACAAAGCAGAGUAUUAUGGUCUGCUACAAAGGAGACAAAGGAAUUUCACAGAGACAGUUUUAUUUCUUUAAUCUAAACUGGUUAGCAUCCUGCAGCUGAUGUAGCAGAACAUCUUCAAUAUAUGUUUAAGUACACUUCUAAAUUUACUUGGAACCAAUAGAAUUUAAAGUGUGCUGUACUUGUCUGGUUGGCAAAUCAUAGAAUGGCCUGGGUUGGAAGAGACCUUUCAAGAUUAUUGAGCUCCAACCCCCUGCCACCCACCAGCUCAGCUGCCAGGGCCUCAUCCAACCUAGCCUCGAGCACCUCCAGGGAUGGGCCGCAGCUUCUCUGGGCUGAUGUGCAAGGGCCUCACUGUUCUCUGAGUAACGAAUUUCUGCCAAACAGCUAAUCUAAAUCUCCCCUCUUUUAGUCUAAAGCCAUUCUCCCUUGUUCUAUCACUAGCAGAACAUGUGAAAAAUCAGUCCCCCUUGUAUUUAUAACCUCCCUUCAAGUACUGGAAGGACACAAUGCGAUCUCCCCAAGGCCUUUUCUUCUCCAGCCUGAACAAGCCCAGCUCCCUCAACCUUUCUUCAUAGGAAAGGUACUCCAGCCCUUAGUAUGUACCCGUUGUGUAUGUUUGGAAGGCAACUGUGUGGGGUCUAAAGGGAAGGAGCUGGGUG
rnacentral:lncRNA from 1 species